AACGCGAAGAACCUUACCUGGGCUCGAACGGCUUCCUAACGCCGGUGGAAACAUCGGUAUCCCGCAAGGGAGUGGAGUCGAGGUGCUGCAUGGCUGUCGUCAGCUCGUGUCGUGAGAUGUUGGGUUAAGUCCCGCAACGAGCGCAACCCUUGUCCUGUGUUGCCAUCAUUUAGUUGGGAACUCGCAGGAGACCGCCAGCGAUAAGCUGGAGGAAGGUGGGGAUGACGUCAAGUCCUCAUGGCCUUUAUGUCCAGGGCUACACACGUGCUACAAUGGACGGUACAAAGCGUCCCAAACCCGCGAGGGGGAGGCAAUCGCAAAAAACCGUUCUCAGUUCGGAUUGCAGGCUGCAACUCGCCUGCAUGAAGCUGGAAUCGCUAGUAAUGGCAGAUCAGCACGCUGCCGUGAAUACGUUCCCGGGCCUUGUA
rnacentral:rRNA from 1 species